GACGAACGCUGGCGGCGUGCCUAAUACAUGCAAGUAGAACGCUGAAGGAGGAGCUUGCUUCUCUGGAUGAGUUGCGAACGGGUGAGUAACGCGUAGGUAACCUGCCUGGUAGCGGGGGAUAACUAUUGGAAACGAUAGCUAAUACCGCAUAAGAGUAGAUGUUGCAUGACAUUUACUUAAAAGGUGCAAUUGCAUCACUACCAGAUGGACCUGCGUUGUAUUAGCUAGUUGGUGAGGUAACGGCUCACCAAGGCAACGAUACAUAGCCGACCUGAGAGGGGGGUCGGCCACGCUGGGACUGAGACACGGCCCCAACUCCUGCGGGAGGCAGCAGUAGGGAAUCUUCGGCAAUGGACGGAAGUCUGACCAAGCAACGCCGCGUGAGUGAAGAAGGUUUUCGGAUCGUAAAGCUCUGUUGUAAGAAAAGAACGAGUGUGAGAGUGGAAAGUUCACUGUGACGGUAUCUUACCAGAAAGGGACGGCUAACUACGUG
rnacentral:rRNA from 1 species